UCUAGAUAAUAAAGUGCUCACACAGGGUGAAUCUCCGGGCUGGAUCUUCAUCAGAGGCUUUUGUGGAGGUAUCAGUGACCAGGUGACCAAGGGGUGACCAAUGGGACCCAACCACUCUGCACUCUCUUAGUCUUUGCUGAGGUCCAGUCAAGUCGUGCCUAAGUGAGUGUCCAGAAUAUUGGAGGCCUCAAGUCCAGUCUGCAGCCACAAGCUACAAACCUGCAAAUGUUAAGUGAUCCACAUGGCGGUCUUAUCUGGACGGAGAAGAAAAGGAAAGAGUACGCCGCUGAUCACAAAAUACGUAAUUUGAUAUGGACCAUGCUGGUAUAACGCUGGGGACGCACGACGGAGGCCUGCAGCAGCGCGGACCCGACUCAGUUUUUCUUCUCUUUUCUACUUUUGAUAUGCGUCCAACCUAUCCACCAUCAUAAAGACCUUCAUAUCAACCAGAACCUGUGCCAAGCCUAACAUGGUUGUGUGGUGGCCCAAUACGGGAGGUGUUACCCCGUGCUCCUGCUGUCCUGUCAGGCAGCCUCCUUCAGUGUCCCCAACGCCCCCUGCACUUGUUUCCCCAUUGUUAAUAUGUUUUACCAUGUAAAGUGUUAUAAAAUGUAAUGUUGCUUUAAGAAUUAUACCAUGUGAUAUGUCAUGUGAUUGUUACCCAGGAGGUACCAGUGACCAGGUGACCCCAAGAGUGACCUAUGGGCUCCCUGCUAGUCUCCCCCAUAUAAGCCCUGGGUGGAGCUUCUCUCUCUUUGAUCUCUGCUCUUCUGCUAAGCUGAGGUCCAGUGCAGUCUUGUCUAGUGUGUGUGUCCAGAGUGUUGGAGGCCUCAAAGUCCAGUCCUGCAGCCACCAUCAAGUCAAGUAAGAUAAAGUCACAGCUUUAUGAGUCAAGUCAAGUCAGUCCCUGUCUUCUGUCAAGUCAGCGUGGUCUGCAUUCAAUUGUCCAGUCCUCCUACAAGUUCCAGCAAGCCCUUAAGGUCUCUGUGUCACUGAUCACCAUCUUGGGCCCUGGCUGAACUGUAUAGACUUUUCCACCUGUCUAACUUCAGUAAAGCUACCG